UCCGGCUUACACCGGCGGUCUCCUGUGAGUUCCCAUCUUUCAUGCUGGCAACUAAUGACAAGGGUUGCGCUCGUUGCGGGACUUAACCCAACAUCUCACGACACGAGCCGACGACAGCCAUGCAGCACCUAUGUCCAGGCUCCCUUUCGGGCACCUCCACGUCUCCGCAGAGUUCCUGGCAUGUCAAGGGUAGGUAAGGUUUUUCGCGUUGCAUCGAAUUAAUCCACAUCAUCCACCGCUUGUGCGGGCCCCCGUCAAUUCCUUUGAGUUUUAAUCUUGCGACCGUACUCCCCAGGCGGUCAACUUCUCGCGUUAGCUACGUUACUAAGUGAUCAAGUCACCCAACAACCAGUUGACAUCGUUUAGGGCGUGGACUAC
rnacentral:misc_RNA from 1 species